GUAAAAAUGUUACAUUGAAAAUAACAUACAUGUAUAAUAUAACAUUUAAAGUAAUUUUGAUGUAAAAUGUUAUAUUAAAAGUAACAUGACAGUAAAAAUGUUACAUUGAGUAGUAACAUUCCUGUAUAAUAUAACAUUUUAAGUCACUUAGAUGUAAAAUGUUACAUAAAAGCAACAUGCCAGAUAAAAUGUUUCUUUGAGAGUAACAUUCCUGUAUAUAAAUGUAACAUUUUAAGUCACUUUCAUGUAAAAUGUUAUUUUAAGUAACAUGCAAGUAAAAAUGCUACAUUGAGAGUAACAUUCAUGUAUAAAAUAACAUUUAUAGCAGAUCAUAUGAACUUGAUUAUAGUUCACUAUAAACAAAAUGAAAUGCAUACAAUAGAUACAUUCUUCAACAUAGUAGAGACAAAAAUAACAAUGGACAGCACUUGUUGUCAAAUUGAUUCUUUUCAAAUUUGGAGGUAUCAUGUAUGGUUGUUUUUAAAGAAAAAAAAACCAAACUAAGUGUUAAUUUGAUUGUAUUACUAUAAAACAUACAGUACACCUAACAAACAUCAUAAUUUUAUCUGUAGCAGUUAAAAAAAGAGUGACAAUUAAAUGUAAAGAAUUAUAACUUCUUUGAAAUAAUAAGUUUGGUUAUUUAAACUAACAAUGCACAGUCCUUUUUUAUUGACCAAUUUUUUUCAGCCUCUUCGAACAUCAGAGUCGUAAAAAUGAGAUAAAAUAAAAUUAUCAAAUGCUUAUCUGACCUAAAUUUGAACAUGUUGGUUAAAUUAUUUCAGUGACCUAUUUUUGACUUCUUACUAUCCAAUGUAUUGAAAUGGAGGUCCAAAAAAACAUGUUUCUCAGGACAGUCAAGAUUGGAUAUGUUGACAGUUGUGAUUAAAUUUCCAUAAAAUAACUCCUUUGUAAUACAAGUGUAUUAUUAGGGUCAAAACUUGGAUCUAUGUUCUGUAAUAAGCCGUUUCAGAAUCGAAUGCAUUCUGGGUAAUAUUUUCAAAAGCGUACACCAAAAUGUUGUGAUUGGUUUAAAACAUUCUAAACAAUGGAAAUUCAACCAAUGACGUAAUGUUAUUUUCAUUUUGGUGUACAAACAAUGAGAUUACCCAUAGUCCUUUAGAUUCUGAAAAGGCGAAUUGUGUCCAUCUUUAUUUCAGAAUUCAGACUCCCGUCAAAGGCACAUAUUUUAUGCUAAACCACUAUAAUUUCUUUUAUGUGAUAACUGAUAUUAUUGAAGCAUAACUGUGAUUUAAGUAAGCAAGGCUGAGAAGCUAUAUUACAUAUUCAAUUAGCUGAGAACAUGAUACCCGUGAUUUUCUAACUGAACACAUUGUAUAAAACAGCCAAUACAAGCAUUGAACAAGGCAUGCCAUCAUUUACAUGGAAGACCUCAUUUGCCAUACUGUGAAUUCAUUUAUUUUCGUGGAUUAAGAAAAAUAUUCAUGUUUGUGAAUAUCUACUAGUAAUUUCAUGGUGUUGAGGAAGUCUGCAUACAAGCCUAUAGAAAAUGUGUUAUUCCAGUGGCGGAUCCAGAGGGGGGUUCUGGGGGUUGGAACCCCCCUUUUUUUUGGUCGAUCAAUGCAUUUGAAUGGGGACAUAUAGUUGGAACCCCCCUUUUUAAAAUGGCUGGAUCUGCCCCUGUAUUUGUUUAACUUUUUUAAUUUCUUGGUUCAUCUGUACCCUUGAAAUCCAUGAAAAUUGGUAUCCCACAAAUAAUAUUGAAUCCACAGUACCAUGAAAGUAAUUUUAUUUGUAAAUCAUUGCACUGUGAAAUGUUUGAGGUGGGAGUAAAGUGAGAAGCUAUAAAAAAAAGUUUGGUUUUGAGACUGGGUUGAAUAAAAAUAUCUGGUUAUGUGUUAACUAAUGUAUCUUUUCUUCUACUUUUUAAAUAUCAGAGUAAUAUUAACCAUAAUCUUUUUUUUUAUUCCUUGGCCUAUGAUAGUGGAGGGUCUUUAUUUUUUUUGGUUUUAGGUUAAUAAUUGGGUUUAAGGUAGGUUAAAGUUCUUUUAAAGUUGUUUUUUUUGUGGUCACAUCUAUUUUAAAACUAAAUUUUUAUGUGGUCACAUCUAUUUUAAAACUUGUUACUUUAUGUUUUAUUUCAAAAUUUUAUACUAAAUAAGUUUUUUACAUGCAAAAUAUAAAAGUUCACUGGACAUGUGAUAGUGUGAACUGGAUGUGGUAUCCAAGGAAACACAUUCUUGUUAUUCUAAAUUGAUGAAGAGUUUAUCAUGAUUAUCUGUUUAACCUUUAUAUUGAAAUAAAUGAAUGAUUAAAUCAAUCAUACUUAGAAAUGAACAUUACCAUUUUUUUUUAAAUUAAAAUACUCAUUAACAGAAUUCUAAUUCAAAAUACACAAAAAUAUAUAUAUUGCAUCUUUGUAUAUAUAAAUAUAAAUAAAUGGGCUGUACAAUAUAUACAUAACAAAAAUGAUUUAAUAAAAUGGGCAGGUAACUCUUCAUUGACCUGACUAGUAGAUAGAUGAAUGGGUGCCCUAUGUGAAAACUAGUGUAUUUACAAUAAGCUACCAUUACAUAAAAUAUAAGCAUUUAUCUUCAGAAAGUGCUAAUAUGAGAGUUAAGUACAUAAUGUAUUACAACAAUGAUGACAACCAAAUCAGCAGUAAUGAAAAUUUCACCCUUGUAUGAAUUCAAAAAUUGCAUCCUGUUCACAAAAUGCACGACAACAUUGAUGAUGACAGAAUCAGCAAUAAUAAAAAUUUGUACUUUUUCAUUAAUCCAAAAACAUUGUUAUCGUUCUCUCUCUAUAUAAUUGAUAAAUUUAAUUAUUUUUCUACCCUAAACGAUUGAUUGUUGUUUGUUAUAUGUCCAGUGACAAUAAUUUCAUGACAACUCUCCAACCUUAUCAUUUCUUAUCAAAACUCAAGACAUUUUCUUUUUAUCUAAACCUUUUUAUGUUUUUCAAAUAUUUUAACAUAAAAAAAACAA
rnacentral:lncRNA from 1 species